GGAUCGCACAAGGGGAAUACAACGAGGGAACAGUUCAGUGUUAACCGACGGAGGAGUGUCAUUUCAUCGUCGUUUUGUCGGAUUUUUACGUCAGGUGUAUUGUUUCCUUUUUUCGCUGACAGAACACAAUUGAAAUGUACAAUAGAUAAACAUGCAAUUAGGAAGGUAAUUAAAUAGACUAUAAUGUUAUCAAGAACAUCGAAACGGUUUGUCAUUAACUGAAAACUGAUCGGUUUAUUUUGCGCACGACAUGUGGCCAACGUUUCAAAGCGGUUCGAGACUUCUCGCUAAAAAUACAUUUGCCAAACGAUCAAAGUGCUGCAGAUUAGUGAAAGAAAAAAUCAGUGAUGUUUUAUAAUAUAGAUCAUCCUCAUGCCAGUGGCAAUAUGCUUCCGUCACCCGGUCUUUCGAACGUAAUCGUAAUACAAUGAAAAUUCAUGAAAAUCGAUUCCAGGGAGCGAUCUCUUGGUUAUUCAUAUGUUCUAAAAUUCUCAUGAUUGUCUGUCAAUUUAUUAUCUGCAUUGCAAAGGAAAAUAAACACGAUUCGACGAAACGUCAUUUAGCAGCGAUGGAAUCCGUCGCAGUUGUUAAAUGGAUUUGCUCUUUAUUAAUAUAUUGAAGACGUAAAUUUAUAUUGAAAUAUGGACAAAACAAUUGUUAAAAAUCAUGAAGCAGCAACAUCUGGUACAUCAUACACUUUAUGGUUUGGUAUACAAGUGUAUCGCGAUAGAAUAGUCAUCGAUCGUAAAAAAUCAGUAAUUUCGAAUUUUAAUGAAGAUUUACCAUCAUCAUAUCACGAAAACGUCACAGUGUCAUAGCUACCGUGGUAUUAUUUCUUAUAUUAUAAAAAAAACGCGCGAACACUUAAAAUGUGCGGCAAACUAUUUUCUAUACAAAUUACAUAAAGAAAGAGAACCAUUACAACUCAUGAAAGGAGUAUGAACACCGUUUAUCAGGUUCAAGUAUAAUGAAGUCAUCUAUGAAAAUGGGAGUAAUAGCCUUAAUAGGUCUCUUCGUGGUGUUUUACCAAUACCAUUUAUCAACCAGCGUACGAUUCGAUCAAAUCGCCGAUUUCAACACGGGUGGUUCCGUGGAAGACAGCCCUGUUCUAUCCCAGGAAGACGUAGAGCGCUACAUCAAAAGCGCUGUGUAUAAAGUUCAAGAGAUGAACGGGCUGAGCCCAGACAUAACCUCGAUGUUGGUGCAGCAGUUAACGAAUUAUUUGCACAAGGAUAUUCUCGAAUUAUCCGAGAAUAAUUCGAAGAAUGAUCGAAACGUAUCGUUGAACGAAGAGAGACAAGAAUCGUCGAUGAAUUCGGAUAAAAUGCCGGAACCGUUGUAUAUAAUCACGCCGACGUAUCGUCGGCCAGAACAAAUACCGGAACUCACCAGGAUGUCGCAUACUUUGAUGUUGGUAAAGAAUGUUCAUUGGCUCGUUAUCGAGGACGCGACCGUUGCCACUAAACAAGUCACGAGGCUGUUGGAACGAACAGGAUUGAAGUUCGAGCAUCUGACUGCUCCAAUGCCUGAAAAGUACAAGCAGAAAAAGGGUGCCAAACCACGAGGCGUGUCUAAUCGGAAUCGUGGCUUACAAUGGAUCAGGGCAAAUGCAACUAAUGGCGUCUUCUAUUUCGCCGAUGAUGACAAUACCUAUGAUAUAGCACUCUUCGACGAAAUACGUAAAACAAAACGAGUCUCCAUGUUUCCUGUUGGUUUAUGCACCAAAUUUGGUUUAAGCUCGCCCAUUAUUAAGAACGAAAAAUUCGUCGGAUUUUACGAUGGAUGGAUCGCCGGUCGGAAAUUCCCAGUCGAUAUGGCAGGCUUCGCUGUAAACGUGAAGUUUCUGCUUCAAAGGCCAAAUGCCUCGAUGCCAUUCAAAGCUGGAUACGAGGAAGAUGGAUUUUUGAAAAGUUUGGCACCGUUUGAACCGAAAGAAAUUGAAUUCUUGGCCGAUAAUUGCACCAAGGUACUCGCUUGGCAUACGCAGACAAAAAAGAAUGAACCAAGUGCGCCUCUUGAUAUGAAACUGUACGGUGAAACGAACCUAGUUAAAUUAAAACAACAGAUAGUAUGAUGUUAAAUCGAUAGCGACUGCAUUUUCGAGUUCGAUCUAAUUUUAACGAUUAAUAAGUACGAAACAAAGUGAUUCAGUGCCUGAAGUAUUGUGAAGUACGAUUGGCGUAGUAAUGAUCUUCUUUUUUUUCUAAUUUUUUUAUUGUUUAAGAUCUCCAUAGGAAAUGUUGUAGAUAAAUGAUCUUUAUAAUGUUGUUUUUGUUUUUUUAUUAAGCUUGUUAUUAAUCUUGAGCAAUUGAAUUUGGAAAAAAAAAUAUGAAUUUCUUUUAUAGUUUAAAUUUUUUUAAAAAAAUUAA